rnacentral:rRNA from 1 species
GUCAGCAGCCGCGGUAAUACCCGCAGCCCAAGUGGUGGUCGAUUUAUUGAGUCUAAAACGUUCGUAGCCGGUUCAUUAAAUCCUUGGGGUAAAUCGGAUGGCUUAACUAUCCGAAUUCCGGGGAGACUGGUGAACUUGGGACCGGGAGAGGCAAGAGGUACUUUUGGGGUAGGGGUAAAAUCCUGUAAUCCUAAAAGGACCACCGGUGGCGAAGGCGUCUUGCUAGAACGGAUCCGACGGUGAGGGACGAAGCCCUGGGUCGCAAACGGGAUUAGAUACCCCGGUAGUCCAGGGUGUAAACGCUGCAGACUUGGUGUUGGGACCCUUCGGGGGUGUCAGUGCCGGAGAGAAGUUGUUAAGUCUGCUACUUGGGGAGUACGUCCGCAAGGAUGAAACUUAAAGGAAUUGGGCGGGGAGCCACCGCAACGGGAGGAACGUGCGGUUUAAUUGGAUUCAACACCGGAAAACUCACCAGCAGCGACUAUUACAUGAAAGUCAGGCCGAUGACCUUACUAGAUUUUUAGAGGGGUGGUGCAUGG